AGAUUCCGCCCUUGGAUCGGACCGCGUACUAUUAGCUUGUCGGUGGGGUAAUGGCUCACCAAGGCUGCGAUGGUUACCGGGUGUGAGAGCAUGGGCCGGUUCACUGGGACUGAGACACUGCCCAGACACCUACAGGUGGCUGCAGUCGAGAAUCUUCGGCAAUGGACGAAAGUCUGACCGAUCGACGCCGCGUGCGGGAUGAAGGCCCUCGGGUUGUAAACCGCUGUCAGUUGGGAGGACCGGUCUGUGCGGAGCAUACCCUGACCGAUCUUCAGAGGAAGGACGGGCUAAGUUCGUGCCCAGCAGCCGCGGUAAGACGAAGCGUCCAAACGUUAUUCGGUAUCACUGGGGCUGAAAGCGUGCGUAGGCGGGCAGGUACGUGAGAUGUGAAAGCCCGCGGCUCCACCGUGGAAUUGCGUUUCAAACCCUCUGGCUUGAGGGAGCCAGAGGUGUUGGGAACCUAUGGUGGCGCGGUGCAAUGCGUUGAUAUCGUAGGGAACAUCGGUGGCGACCGCGCAACACUGGGUCUUAUCUGACGCUGAUGCACGACAAGCUAGGGUAGCGAACGGGAUUAGAUACCCCCGGUAGUCCUAACCGUAUACGAUGAGCACUGGCUUGAGGGGACUUCCACAUCCUCUCGGCCGUAGCGAAAGCGUUAAGUGCUCCGCAUGGGGAGUAUGAUCCCAAGGCUGAAACUCAUAGGAAUUGACGGGGGCUCACACAAGCGGUGGAGGAUGUGGCAUAAUUCGAGGAUACGCGAAGAACCGUAUCCUAGAUUUGACACGCACGAGAGUCUCUAUGAAAGUAGAGAGUGCCCUUCGGGGAGCUUUUGCACAGGUGCUGCAUGGCUGUCGUCAGCUCGUGUCGUGAUAUGUCGGGUUAAGUCCCGUAACGAGCGAAACCCGUAUCUCUACUUGCUAGCGGGUCAAGCCGAGGACUCUAGAGAGACUGCCGGUGUCAAACCGGAGGAAGCUGGGGAUGACGUCAAGUCCUCAUGGCCUUUAUGUCUAGGGCUGCACACGUCCUACAAUGGUACGGACAAAGGGAAGCCAAACCGCGAGGUGGAGCAAAUCCCAGACACCGUGCCCCAGUUCAGAUUGCAGGCUGCAACUCGCCUGCAUGAAGCCGGAAUCGCUAGUAAUCGUGGGUCAGCAU
rnacentral:rRNA from 1 species